ensembl:lncRNA
UUUGCUUUUGUAUCAAAACUUUAUUUAUCAAACAAAAAGAAUGCACCAUUGAAAUAACAUUUCUAUAAAAAAGGAACAUGGGACUGUUCUACAGUGCAUUACAAAACCAGCAAUUGUAUACAACAUUGUGGAUAGAAACUUCGCUUUGCUUCAUCUGAGAUACGUCCUCAUCUUCCUCAUCCUCAUCAUCACCAUCCUUCCCCAAAUGAACAAAAUGUACACUCUUAAAUAUUGCAGUCGCUAAGCUAAUUUGGUUAUAAUGUAUCUAGGCUUCUUUUUUUUUUUUUUAAAGGAUGAAGUCAAACAGUAUUUACUGGGAAUCUGUCAGCUCAUCUGUCCAACGAUGAUGUUCUGGAAAUGAAGUAAUUGUCUGUGUGAGAGGAGAUAAGGUCGCUUUAAUUUAGCCCCUUUCACCCCAAAUCAGUCUCUUUAUUUCCCUUCUCUAAGCUCAGACUGACCACAUCAGGCCUCUUCCAAAUUCAUCCCUGACCACCUUCUUUCUGGUGUUUUUUCUAUUUUCUGACCCUCCUUUUUUUGUAUUUUUUCUAAACCGUGUAAUUUGUCCCUUUUUUGAUCCUCAGUGGUUCCCACACAGGAGCGAAGCGCCUAAAGAAAGAAGUUAAUGAGUUUCCCUUUGAAAUGCAGGAGUUGAGCCUCCCCCAGUUUCUAUCUUAUCGGCGUUUCUGAGUUUCAGUCACCGCUGGUUCACGAGGACGGGCUGCUUUUACAGGACUUUCCUGGUGCGUUUGUGCACAUUUUGCUUCAUUACCUACAAAGAGCGUUUACUUUACGUUCCUGCGGAGCGUCUUUUACACUGAUGUCCUGCCUCCCAGGCAGCAGUUUAACACAAACUUUGUGAAGAAAAUGAUGCUGACGCCUCGUGGUAAUGCAGCUGAAAGCAGUUUAACACUGAUGCUGCGUUUAGGGACACAUUCAUUUAGCAUCUUAUGAAAAAACAAACAAAAACACAACAUCUGCAGGCUACAGGACAGUUAGAGACCAAUAUUUCUGAUUGAUAUUAGAGAAUCCCAGAUAUGUAUACAUGAUGAUUUAUCAGAAAUUAUAUGUUUGAAGUCAUGACAACAGAAUUCAGGAAAACUAAUUGAUACUAAAGCAUCAGAUAACAUUUUGAGACCAAAACUGCUGGAAUUAAAC